CCCUUCGGGGUGUGACUGCGUACCUUUUGUAUAAUGGGUCAGCGACUUAUAUUCUGUAGCAAGGUUAACCGUAUAGGGGAGCCGUAGGGAAACCGAGUCUUAACCGGGCGUUAAGUUGCAGGGUAUAGACCCGAAACCCGGUGAUCUAGCCAUGGGCAGGUUGAAGGUUGGGUAACACUAACUGGAGGACCGAACCGACUAAUGUUGAAAAAUUAGCGGAUGACCUGUGGCUGGGGGUGAAAGGCCAAUCAAACCGGGAGAUAGCUGGUUCUCCCCGAAAGCUAUUUAGGUAGCGCCUCGUGAAUUCAUCUCCGGGGGUAGAGCACUGUUUCGGCUAGGGGGCCAUCCCGGCUUACCAACCCGAUGCAAACUGCGAAUACCGGAGAAUGUUAUCACGGGAGACACACGGCGGGUGCUAACGUCCGUCGUGAAGAGGGAAACAACCCAGACCGCCAGCUAAGGUCCCAAAGUCAUGGUUAAGUGGGAAACGAUGUGGGAAGGCCCAGACAGCCAGGAUGUUGGCUUAGAAGCAGCCAUCAUUUAAAGAAAGCGUAAUAGCUCACUGGUCGAGUCGGCCUGCGCGGAAGAUGUAACGGGGCUAAACCAUGCACCGAAGCUGCGGCAGCGAACGUAUCACCCAAGACAACUUUACGGAGUUGACGAUUGACGGAGCGAAGCGACGUCAAAGCGUUCAUUAAAGUCGAGUUGGCUUAGGGAUACGUUCGUUGGGUAGGGGAGCGUUCUGUAAGCCUGUGAAGGUGUGUCGUGAGGCAUGCUGGAGGUAUCAGAAGUGCGAAUGCUGACAUAAGUAACGAUAAAGCGGGUGAAAAGCCCGCUCGCCGGAAGACCAAGGGUUCCUGUCCAACGUUAAUCGGGGCAGGGUGAGUCGACCCCUAAGGCGAGGCCGAAAGGCGUAGUCGAUGGGAAACGGGUUAAUAUUCCCGUACUUGGUGUUACUGCGAAGGGGGGACGGAGAAGGCUAUGUUGGCCGGGCGACGGUUGUCCCGGUUUAAGCGUGUAGGUGUGUGUUCCAGGUAAAUCCGGUUCACUUUAACACUGAGGCGUGACGACGAGGCACUACGGUGCUGAAGCAACAAAUGCCCUGCUUCCAGGAAAAGCCUCUAAGCAUCAGGUAACACGAAAUCGUACCCCAAACCGACACAGGUGGUCAGGUAGAGAAUACCAAGGCGCUUGAGAGAACUCGGGUGAAGGAACUAGGCAAAAUGGUGCCGUAACUUCGGGAGAAGGCACGCUGACACGUAGGUGAAGUGAUUUACUCAUGGAGCUGAAGUCAGUCGAAGAUACCAGCUGGCUGCAACUGUUUAUUAAAAACACAGCACUGUGCAAACACGAAAGUGGACGUAUACGGUGUGACGCCUGCCCGGUGCCGGAAGGUUAAUUGAUGGGGUCAGCGCAAGCGAAGCUCCUGAUCGAAGCCCCGGUAAACGGCGGCCGUAACUAUAACGGUCCUAAGGUAGCGAAAUUCCUUGUCGGGUAAGUUCCGACCUGCACGAAUGGCGUAAUGAUGGCCAGGCUGUCUCCACCCGAGACUCAGUGAAAUUGAACUCGCUGUGAAGAUGCAGUGUACCCGCGGCAAGACGGAAAGACCCCGUGAACCUUUACUAUAGCUUGACACUGAACAUUGAGCCUUGAUGUGUAGGAUAGGUGGGAGGCUUUGAAGUGUGGACGCCAGUCUGCAUGGAGCCGACCUUGAAAUACCACCCUUUAAUGUUUGAUGUUCUAACGUGGACCCGUAAUCCGGGUUGCGGACAGUGUCUGGUGGGUAGUUUGACUGGGGCGGUCUCCUCCUAAAGAGUAACGGAGGAGCACGAAGGUUGGCUAAUCCUGGUCGGACAUCAGGAGGUUAGUGCAAUGGCAUAAGCCAGCUUGACUGCGAGCGUGACGGCGCGAGCAGGUGCGAAAGCAGGUCAUAGUGAUCCGGUGGUUCUGAAUGGAAGGGCCAUCGCUCAACGGAUAAAAGGUACUCCGGGGAUAACAGGCUGAUACCGCCCAAGAGUUCAUAUCGACGGCGGUGUUUGGCACCUCGAUGUCGGCUCAUCACAUCCUGGGGCUGAAGUAGGUCCCAAGGGUAUGGCUGUUCGCCAUUUAAAGUGGUACGCGAGCUGGGUUUAGAACGUCGUGAGACAGUUCGGUCCCUAUCUGCCGUGGGCGCUGGAGAACUGAGGGGGGCUGCUCCUAGUACGAGAGGACCGGAGUGGACGCAUCACUGGUGUUCGGGUUGUCAUGCCAAUGGCACUGCCCGGUAGCUAAAUGCGGAAGAGAUAAGUGCUGAAAGCAUCUAAGCACGAAACUUGCCCCGAGAUGAGUUCUCCCUGAGACUUAGAGUCUCCUGAAGGAACGUUGAAGACGACGACGUUGAUAGGCCGGGUGUGUAAGCGCAGCGAUGCGUUGAGCUAACCGGUACUAAUGAACCGUGAGGCUUAACCUUACA
rnacentral:rRNA from 1 species